ACUAGUCGUACGAGGAGAGAGGGGUCACUCGCUAACCCAUCGUGAAGGUGAAAUCGCCCGUGAAGUCAUGGCUGCGGCCCCCUCGUAAAGUACGGCCAGAUGUUCACACAGUCUCAAUCUGUGCUCUCACGACUAACAAACGACCUGGCUCCGGUAACUGGAUGAUACUGGACUGUGUGGCCGGUUUGUGUGACGUGUUUAUGAGCUAGAUCUACUCAGGCGGCUACUUGAACUUCUGUAUAGAAUCUAUCACCUCACACGGAGUGACGGAGUCGGUGAUUCAAGGGGGUGGUCAGUGAAGAUCAAAGACUGUGCUGGUCACGUUCUGUUCGCACCGUCCUGCGUGUGUUUUUAACAGUGUUUUCCUUGAGCAGGUUUGCUUCGACCCAUGGACAGAACGUAAUAAAAACUGAGUAACGCAUUACAGUUUUCUCGUGGACAAGGAAGUCUUGCCCUAGAUGUGUCCAGACAAGAAUCACGUCCACUUAAUGACCCCAAUAGGGUUAUCCUCGCCUUCGACUGUCAGUCAGAU